rnacentral:lncRNA from 1 species
GGAAUUAAAUAAAGAUGGGCAAUAUUCUUCAAAUUCACAAGUUGUUCCCUGAAGAGUCAUAUCAUAAAGAUUCAAAUGUCUAAAACCUAAGUGCUUUAUUUCUCAACCAAAAAGCAAAAAAAAAAAAGCAAAAACAUAAAAUUAUUUAAAAUGCUAUUCUCCCUAAGUAAUCACUACUGUAAUCACUCAUUAAAUUCACCACCAAAAACCAACCUUUACCUUAAAUCCCAAUAGAAAUGUUAUUAUGGAAAAGCAACCUAUUUGCUUUUCUCCAUAUAAU